rnacentral:tRNA from 1 species
GCGGCGGUUGCCGAGCCAGGUUAAAGGCGAGGGACUCAAGAUCCCUUCCCUCAGGGGUUCGCCGGUUCGAAUCCGGCCCGCCGCA